GUGCCCGUAGCUCAGGUGGGUAGAGCGGCGGUUACCUAAACCGCGUGUCGGGGGUUCGAGUCCCUCCGGGCGCACCA
rnacentral:tRNA from 1 species